rnacentral:rRNA from 1 species
AGACGUCUACAUUAGAUACCCGCGUAGUCCCAGCCGUAAACUAUGCGCGUUAGGUGUAUCGGUGACCACGAGUUACCGAGGUGCCAAAGGGAAACCGUGAAACGUGCCGCCUGGGAAGUACGGUCGCAAGGCUGAAACUUAAAGGAAUUGGCGGGGAGCACCACAACAGGUGGAGCCUGCGGUUUAAUUGGACUCAACGCCGGGAAGCUCACCGGAUAGGACAGCAGAAUGAUUGCCGGGCUGAAGACCCUGCAUGACUAGCUG